UAAUAACCUAGUUUUUUUUAAUCAAACAAUUUGGUGGCAAACACCGGUUCCGUGAUUUAAGGUUAGUGGACAAUUGCAUAAUUUGAAGGCCGGUGCUUUAACAUGAUUAUGCAUGAGUGGAAGAACGAAUCAAUUAAGCUAAGAAACGAAUUCUCUCUCUCUCACGUCCGAAACCACCCAAAACAGAGCAAAACUUCUCCAAACUCUCUCUCACUCCACCGGCCACCAAUCAAGACCAGAACACUUCCUAUAGCUUCGCCUCGACCUUGCGCAGCUGCAGGUGGCAGCCUUGAACCACGACACGGCCACCAGCGGCGGCGGGAAGCUCCGCCCGGUUUGAGCUCGUUUUGGUUCCAAGCUUGAUAUCUCAAGCUACCGGCCAACAAUCCUCACCAAACUUCACCCACGAGCUCGCCUCAACGUCCUGAAGCUCCCAGAAGUGGCCUUGCACGGCGGCGCUACUCGUGGUGGCGGCUGGAAGCCAGACCCGAUCAAAUCGAAAACCGAAGCUUCGAUCGGUAUAUCUCGAGCUGUAGUGCAUCGUUUUGAUUGAUUCUUUUUCCAGUGGGUUCCCCUUGAUGUUGUUAACAACUCUCUAGAAGGCAUCGAGGCCUGAAAUUGAAGUUUUUACGUCGAUCGGAGCCCUCGCCGGAUUCUGCAAAAUUCUGCAAAUUUUCCGACCACCGAAGCUUUCGAUCGGUAUAUCUCGAGCUACAGACCAUAUUUUUCUGUGAUUCUUGAACCAAUGCGUUCGUCUUGAGUUUCUUAACAACUCUCUAGAAGGAAUCGAAGCCUGAAAUUGAAGUUUUGACGUCGAAAUCAAGCCUUGCCGGAUUCUGCAAAUUUCGCCGGAUUCUGGAAAUUUUCCGGCCACCUCGACUGUUCUAGGUUAUCGACGGAUUGAUUUGGUGGACGAUUCGGAUUGAUGUAUUUGGCUUUUUAGAAGACGCAGCUGGAUUAGAGCGGGAAAUCCUACAGGUCAGGAAGAUCAAGGCGGAGAUCGUGCGGGUUAGAGUUUUUGUUUCAGUUUACAGCUUUGUAAAUUGUGAGAUGUAUUAUUAAGAGGUGUGAAGUGUGGUUGUUGUGAGAAAAAAAUUCAGGACGUUUAUUCUAUUAAGUUGUAUAAUUCAUGUUUCGGAUUUUAAUUGUAUUUAAAAUUCGGGGCGUGACAGUUUGGUAUCAGAGCGUAAGGUACAUAUUUGGUGACGUGUCAAUACCUUCCGAGUGAUGGCCCGUCUGCAGCGGAUCCCCAUCGUGCGCUCUUCGGUAUUGGCUAAGUCAUUGGGUAUGUGUGAGUGUUGGAAGUUGUUUAGGCCGCUAAGUCGUUUUAGGAACGUUAACACCUUCCCUGUAGUAUUGACUUGGUUAAUAUGGACUUGUAUUUGACUUAUACUGUGUUUUAAGUGUUAUACGUGUAUUAGCCAAGCAUACUAUAUUUCUUAGGUGUUGAAUAUUCGAAGGAGUAGUACUUAGAACUACAGAGUUGUCUUGUAGGUUCGUAUUUGAAUAAGUUCAGUUACCGCGAGUUAUAAUCUUUAAGGGAUGGAAACCUUCGGAUUUAACUCUAUUGAGUUAGGGUGAUUGUUUUAUGGAAGUGAGGUUCUUUUGGAUGUUGAGGUGUUUGGUUGAAGGCAUGAUGUUGGCCUAUGCACGUACCUAGUGUGGAUACGAGUAUGAAUUGAUGGAAUUUUUGCCUUAUUAGGUUGGAUAUACAGAUGUUUUUGAUUUGAUUCUUGACUCAUGUGGAGUGGUGGGUAGUAUUGCGGUUUGGGAAUGAAUUAUUGUGGUUAAUUCUUCCAUGUGUUUGUAAGUUGAUGAGCAGGGUUUAAGUUGUGAGAAAGGAGUUUGAUCUCGUGUUUGAGUGAUUGAGACGAACGACUAUAUAUUUGAGGUUGUUUUGUGUUUUAAGUUUAUGUAGACGGGACACUUAAAGUUUUGAAAUAGAGUUUGAUUUUUAGUUGAUAGAUAAUGGGGAGAAUUAGAAUCAACUCUUUGUUAAUGAUCUUGGACGAGAGUGUGUUUCUAUGGUUAUGGAUUUUAGGUGAAAUGGUUAAAUACAAUUUUGGGUAUUGAUGAUAGUGACAUGAUUGGGUAUCCAUAGUGGUUCAAGUGAAUUACUAUGCGGUAUGGAGUUGAUUCGAUGUAUGAAUCGUGAAAUCUUAGGGUUGAAUUAUGGUAAGUUUGAUGGAGCAUGUUUUAGAGGGAAUGGUUGAGAUUUUAUAAGACUAGCACGAGUAACUCUAAGGAUGUGAGUUUUCCUAGUUAACUCAGGAAGUGUUUAGCUUUAUUAAUCCCUAAUUCUAGCGACGAAAUUAUUGUGUUUGGUUUGACUCAGAGGAUACUAGCUUGACCUCUGUGCAACUUAAUUGAUUGUUUGUGAUAAAUCAUUAUGAUUGAUGUGUGCAGCAGAGUUGUCAAUGGUUUUGAAAAUAGUAUUGGGUGACCAAGGUUGAUCCUUGGUGUUGUUGUUGGUUUAACAAAAAGAAGAAACGACAUACAUGCAAUCUUAUUGAUUUUAUAUUACAAAAAGGGAAACGAGGACUAUGCUAUACUAAGCCUAGUCAGCAGCUCCGGUUGGAUUGAGGCUGAGCUCAAGAGAAACGUUUGAGCCACUGUGGUAACCGCCUGAGCCACCAGAAUAGUGACCAAAUGCGCUACCUUCCUCGGAAGUAGUCUUCGGGUUACCAAAGACGUCCUCGCCGUGCACGGGGAACAGAGGAAGAGUUUCAACCUCCUGGUGAUCUCCUCCUCGUUGUUGCAGGGAUGUUUGUCCUCCUGUUGUGCCAAAAGAGUUGUACUGGUAUUAGUGUUGAAGUGUGAGGAAGAAUACGAAACAAAAUUUAUAUCAAGAAAUCCUUCAUUACCAGUAGAAUCGGUGGAACUAAAGUUGAGAUUAAUGGAUCUACCAUCAUCGGUAGAACUAGUGGACCCAAAAUUGAUGUCGAUGGAUCCACCAGCAUCAGUAGAACUAGUGGGCCCAAAAUUGAGAUCGAUGGAUCCACCAACACCAGAAGAACUAGUUACCUUGGGCACCUGAACGCCCUGAUUUAACCUCUUCUUCUGCUUCUCUCGAGCCUUGAGGUUCUAAAACCAAAAAAAAGACGUUCUUGUCCUCAAUCUGCCCAUACUGUUUCAGAUGGAGACAAAUCUCCUGAAUCUGCUCUAUAGUUAGGUACUUAACUCCCUUGUCAUAGUAGAGCCCCUGAAGGAUUCUUAGUUGAGCUGGUGUGGGAGUCCACCGGUUAUUGGCUGGCCUGAUAGGCGUGUUGGCACUACUCCCGGCUGCUUGGUUGCUUCCUUCCUCCUCGGUGGGUUGCUGGGCUUGUAGUUCCAUUUGUUGCUGGGCUUGUAGUUCCAUUUGUUGCUGGGUUUGAAGUUCCAUUAGUUGCAGAGUUCGUGGUUCCAUGGUGAUGAGUUGAGAGGAAGUGUAAAUUGAAGAACGAAGUUGUUGAGUGUUUGAGGGAGAUUUUGUUAGAAGGAUUGGAGUUGUUGAACUGGUGAUUGGAGAUCUGAGAUUCUCAGAGGAAAGAUGAGAUCGAAUCUUCAAAUGGAAGAAAAGAUCUGAGAAAGAAGGAUUGAAGAUUUGGAGGAAAAGAUUGAAGAUCUGAAAGUUCAGAGGAAAGAUGGGAUUGAAUCAACUAGAUGGGAGAGAAGAUCAGAAGAGAAGGAUUGAAAUUGAUGAAGAAAGGAUUUGAGUUUCGAGAGGAAGGCUGAAGAGUUUGAGAGAGAUUGGCUGGGAAAAAUUUCUUUUCUUUGGUGUGAACAGUUUUUCUCCAGGAUGCACCUAUUUAUAGAACGAGGUGAGCAGAUCUCCACCGUUGGAUGGACGAUCUCUGAGAUUCAAUCUACGCGUUGGAUUAAAGUCAUCCGAAAACCCGGAAAAGUUGUUGGCGCGUGGAGAGCGUGUAAGGGGACAGGCCGAACCUCGAGACGCUGUGGCAGACAGCUUUAGCCGAAAGUGAUUUGCUUUCCGUAAAUCACGGAAGAGACGUGUCGUGGCACGUGGAGUGUACCGACAGUUUGUUGUUAUUCUAUCGCUUAUGAUAGAAUAAAUAAAAGAAGUUGCAUGGAUAGUAACGAGAGCAGCUGGUGCUCUAGUGGUUGAAGAGCAAGGCUCUUGUACAAGAGGUCAGAGGUUCGAACCUUGCCUCUCGUUUAUUUUUAUUAUGUUCGCUUAUGACAUAAUAAGUAUAACAUUUGUACACAUUAUAUUAAGCACAGCUUGUGCUCCAGUGGUUGGGGACAAAGGUUUCGUGCAGCAGGUUGAGGUUUCGAGCCUUGCC